rnacentral:rRNA from 1 species
CCCGCUGAACUUAAGCAUAUCAAUAAGCGGAGGAAAAGAAACUAACAAGGAUUCCCCUAGUAACUGCGAGUGAAGCGGGAAGAGCUCAAGUUUAAAAUCUGGCGUGCCUCUGGUCGUCCGAGUUGUAGUCUGGAGAAGCGUUUUCUGUGUUGGACCGUGUAUAAGUCUCUUGGAACAGGGCGUCAUAGAGGGUGAGAAUCCCGUCUUUGACACGGACUACCAAUGCUUUGUGAUGCGCUCUCAAAGAGUCGAGUUGUUUGGGAAUGCAGCUCAAAAUGGGUGGUAAAUUCCAUCUAAAGCUAAAUACAGGCGAGAGACCGAUAGCGAACAAGUACCGUGAGGGAAAGAUGAAAAGCACUUUGGAAAGAGAGUUAAACAGUACGUGAAAUUGCUGAAAGGGAAACGCUUGAAGUCAGUCGUGUCUGCCAGGACUCAGCCUUGCUUCUGCUUGGUGUACUUUCUGGUCGGAUGGGCCAACAUCAAUUUUGACCGUUGGAGAAAGGCUUUGGGAAUGUGGCACCUUCGGGUGUGUUAUAGUCCUCUGUCGGAUGCAAGGGUUGGGAUUGAGGAACUCAGCAUGCACCUUGUCGGUGUCGGGGCCUUGGCCCACGUUUACAUGCUUAGGAUGCUGGCAUAAUGGCUUUAAACGACCCGUCUUGAAACACGG